UGCGCAGGCGGCUUGGAAAGAAAGAUGUGAAAUCCCAGAGCUCAACUGUAGAACUGCCAUUGAUACUGUAGAUCUUGAAUUCGGUCGAAGUGGGCGGAAUAUGACAUGUAGCGGUGAAAUGCUUAGAUAUGUCAUAGAACACCGAUAGCGAAGGCAGCUCACUAGGCCUGGAUUGACGCUCAGGGACGAAAGCGUGGGGAGCAAACAGGAUUAGAUACCCCUGUA
rnacentral:rRNA from 1 species